GGAGAGAUGGCUCAGUGGUUAAGAGCACUGACUGCUCUUCCAAAGGUCCUGAGUUCAAAUCUCAGCAACCACA
rnacentral:tRNA from 1 species